UGGCUCAGGAUGAACGCUGGCGGUGUGCUUAAACACAUGCAAGUCGAACGGUGAAGCCAAGCUUGCUUGGUGGAUCAGUGGCGAACGGGUGAGUAACACGUGAGCAACCUGCCCUGAACUCUGGGAUAAGCGCUGGAAACGGCGUCUAAUACUGGAUAUGAGCUGCGGAGGCAUCUUCGUGGUUGGAAAGAUUUUUCGGUUUGGGAUGGGCUCGCGGCCUAUCAGCUUGUUGGUGAGGUAAUGGCUCACCAAGGCGUCGACGGGUAGCCGGCCUGAGAGGGUGACCGGCCACACUGGGACUGAGACACGGCCCAGACUCCUACGGGAGGCAGCAGUGGGGAAUAUUGCACAAUGGGCGGAAGCCUGAUGCAGCAACGCCGCGUGAGGGAUGACGGCCUUCGGGUUGUAAACCUCUUUUAGCAGGGAAGAAGCGAAAGUGACGGUACCUGCAGAAAAAGCGCCGGCUAACUACGUGCCAGCAGCCGCGGUAAUACGUAGGGCGCAAGCGUUAUCCGGAAUUAUUGGGCGUAAAGAGCUCGUAGGCGGUUUGUCGCGUCUGCUGUGAAAACCCGAGGCUCAACCUCGGGCCUGCAGUGGGUACGGGCAGACUAGAGUGCGGUAGGGGAGAUUGGAAUUCCUGGUGUAGCGGUGGAAUGCGCAGAUAUCAGGAGGAACACCGAUGGCGAAGGCAGAUCUUUGGGCCGUAACUGACGCUGAGGAGCGAAAGGGUGGGGAGCAAACAGGCUUAGAUACCCUGGUAGUCCACCCCGUAAACGUUGGGAACUAGUUGUGGGGUCCAUUCCACGGAUUCCGUGACGCAGCUAACGCAUUAAGUUCCCCGCCUGGGGAGUACGGCCGCAAGGCUAAAACUCAAAGGAAUUGACGGGGACCCGCACAAGCGGCGGAGCAUGCGGAUUAAUUCGAUGCAACGCGAAGAACCUUACCAAGGCUUGACAUACACGAGAACGCUGCAGAAAUGUAGAACUCUUUGGACACUCGUGAACAGGUGGUGCAUGGUUGUCGUCAGCUCGUGUCGUGAGAUGUUGGGUUAAGUCCCGCAACGAGCGCAACCCUCGUUCUAUGUUGCCAGCACGUAAUGGUGGGAACUCAUGGGAUACUGCCGGGGUCAACUCGGAGGAAGGUGGGGAUGACGUCAAAUCAUCAUGCCCCUUAUGUCUUGGGCUUCACGCAUGCUACAAUGGCCGGUACAAAGGGCUGCAAUACCGCGAGGUGGAGCGAAUCCCAAAAAGCCGGUCCCAGUUCGGAUUGAGGUCUGCAACUCGACCUCAUGAAGUCGGAGUCGCUAGUAAUCGCAGAUCAGCAACGCUGCGGUGAAUACGUUCCCGGGUCUUGUACACACCGCCCGUCAAGUCAUGAAAGUCGGUAACACCUGAAGCCGGUGGCCCAACCCUUGUGGAGGGAGCCGUCGAAGGUGGGAUCGGUAAUUAGGACUAAGUCGUAAAAAGGGUAAC
rnacentral:rRNA from 1 species